rnacentral:rRNA from 1 species
GAUGAACGCUGGCGGCGUGCCUAAUACAUGCAAGUCGAGCGAACAGACGAGGAGCUUGCUCCUCUGACGUUAGCGGCGGACGGGUGAGUAACACGUGGAUAACCUACCUAUAAGACUGGGAUAACUUCGGGAAACCGGAGCUAAUACCGGAUAAUAUAUUGAACCGCAUGGUUCAAUAGUGAAAGACGGUUUUGUUGUCACUUAUAGAUGAAUCCGCGCCGCAUUAGCUAGUUGGUGAGGUAACGGCUUACCAAGGCAACGAUGCGUAGCCGACCUGAGAGGAGGGUCGGCCACACUAGAACGGAGACACGGUCCAGACUCCUACGGGAGGCAGGAGUAGGGAAUCUUCCGUAAUGGACGGGAGCCGAGCGGAGCAACGCCGCGUGGCUGAUGAAGGUCUUCGGAUCGUAAAUCUCUGUUAUUAGGGAAGAACAAAUGUGUAAGUAACUAUGCACUUCUUGACGGUACCUAAUCAGAAAGCCACGGCUAACUACGUG